rnacentral:rRNA from 1 species
AGAGUUUGAUCAUGGCUCAGGACGAACGCUGGCGGCGUGCCUAAUACAUGCAAGUCGAACGAAGUAGCAAUACUUAGUGGCAGACGGGUGAGUAACACGUAGUCAACCUACCUCCGCGUGGGGGAUAACUAGCCGAAAGGUUAGCUAAUACCGCAUACGAUCGCCGAGUGGCAUCACACGGCGAUGAAAGGAGCAAUCCG